rnacentral:lncRNA from 1 species
GGUGAAUCCCUAGCAUGUUUGUCGUAGCGAUGAACACUUUACGCACUCCAUACCUUGCUAUCUUUGUCAUAACCACCAUUGGGUCAUUUUGAUCGGGGUCGAGAGCUUUGAAGUCCUCAUAUUCCCUCAUCCUCAACCACUUUCUCCCUAACAGCCCUGGUCGCACUCUCCGCUCUUAGGGCGGUCAACUCUCCCUCGUAGCAUUGUUGCAUUUCUAACAUCUAUUGUUGUAGUGCUCUAAUCAUUUUGGUC